rnacentral:lncRNA from 1 species
CACAGAGCUCCCCAGCCCUAACACUCCCAGCAAUGUGACCGUCACAGAGCUCCCCAGCCCUAACACUCCCAGCAAUGUGACUGUCACAGAGCUCCCCAGCUAUAACACUCCCAGCAAUGUGACCGUCACAGAGCUCCCCAGCCCUAACACUCCCAGCAAUGUGACCGUCACAGAGCUCCCCAGCCCUAACACUCCCAGCAAUGUGACCGUCACAGAGCUCCCCAGCAAUGUGACCGUCACAGAGCUCCCCAGCCCUAACACUCCCAGCAAUGUGACCGUCACAGAGCUCCCCAGCUAUAACACUCCCAGCAAUGUGACUGUCACAGAGCUCCCCAGCCCUAACACUCCCAGCAAUGUGACUGUCACAGAGCUCCCCAGCCCUAACACUCCCAGCAAUGUGACCGUCACAGAGCUCCCCAGCAAUGUGACCGUCACAGAGCUCCCCAGCCAUAACACUCCCAGCAAUGUGACUGUCACAGAGCUCCCCAGCCCUAACACUCCCAGCAAUGUGACUGUCACAGAGCUCCCCAGCCAUAACACUCCCAGCAAUGUGACCGUCACAGAGCUCCCCAGCCCUAACACUCCCAGCAAUGUGACCGUCACAGAGCUCCCCAGCCCUAACACUCCCAGCAAUGUGACUGUCACAGAGCUCCCCAGCUAUAACACUCCCAGCAAUGUGACC